CGUGAGGGUACUCUGCCGGUUUUGCUGCGGAAGUCACCUCGUGGCGUAGGGGAGAGGUAACACCGAGAAGAGGCAGCGGCGGUGGCGCCAAGACGAUUGGUGCCAAACAGGGCAGAACGCAACUCAGCUCUGGGGUGGGUUCCUGUCCAGAGGGGUAGAGAAGAGUGGCUGAGGGCGCGCCCUGAUCUCAGCGGGAAGAGUGCGACCCCGAGGGCGCGCUAGGUAUGAAAGCCACGUGUGGCUGGCACCGCGGGGACCCACGCACCAGGUGUACCCUUUCCAGUCCCUGCCGUCGCCUUAUUCCCGGUGCUGGUCACCACCGUCUAGGGCUUACUUGGGACACAGGCUAGUUCUCUCCUGAAGCUAUUGAGCAGUAUGUGUUGAGGUGCGCUACGCCAGUUGAGGUGAAGCUGUUACACAGUAUGAAAGCCGGGCUUUGUAGCUGCAGCUGCGCAUUGCACCCCCAGCUACGCAGUCUCCUUUCCUUCUCAGUCACAGGACCGGAUGGCAAGUGGCCGCAGCCAGUCGGUGAGACCGACUGAGCUCUGGGGCUUCAGUUCUUGACGCUACCUACAUGGCUACAUCUCCAGCCAAGGAUGAGAGGUGAUGCCAGAGGACCUCGAUCUAAAUUGGGCACCAUUAUCGUAUGACAACUUCUCUUGCAAAACAUCUUCUCUUUUCUCUUCUUUUCUCUGUCUCUCUCUUUCUCUCUCUCUCUUCGUUUCUCUCUUCUUUCUUUCAUUGCUCUUUCUCUGUCCUGUGCACGCCAAAGCGGAAGCUGAAGUGCGGCGUCUUUGAUCUCUCAAUCCUGGAGACACAGGAACAUUUUCCUUACUUUACUCAACUCGUUCCUUUGAAUACCGCAAAAUUAAGACGGCGUUUAAAACAAUCGAAAUCCCUUUUCUUCUGGGGUUUGGUGCCUAAAGAUUAGAAAAGUUUGCGCAAGGAAUUCGCUGCAGCAUAUAAAACUUUCAGGACCCUGAAAUACAGAACUGCAAAGAAACGGCCUAAGAUGGUUGAAUGCUCUUUAUUUUUCUUUAAUUUAGACAUGUUCAAACGUUCAAUGUCUUACAUACUUAGUUAUGUAAGUAAGGUAGCGCUUACUUCAUUAUGCAUUUCAAUACUCAAAAAAAAUUCCUUUGUGAAAUGUUGAAAUAUUUUUCUAAUCUGUUUCACGAGCUUCAAAAAUGAGGAAAAAAGAUUCAGUUUACAUUUCAGCAAAA
ensembl:lncRNA TXLNGY taxilin gamma Y-linked (pseudogene)